UAUGAUUCAAUUUUUUUCAAAAUAUCAGCAUCAUAAAAUAUAAUUUAAAAAAUAAAAUAUACGAUUUUUUUUAAAAAUGUUAAAUGUUAAAACAAUAGGAUUGGUUAGCAACACGUUAUAAUAGUUAGUUAUUCAUAAUUUUAAAUAUUAAUAUACAGUAAUAUACUUUAUCAUGAAAAUUAUUAAGCUAAAAAGUAGGUAAUAAUACGAUGUAUUCAUUUAUCUAUUACAGCUGAUAAGAUUAAAAGCAAUUAAAUAAACAAGGAAGAGUUCUUGAUAAAAUUGCAUAUUUAAACAGUAGACCAAAGUCCCAAGAAACUAUUUAACUAUAAAGCUAUUAACAAUGCAUUACAAUAUUUUUAUUUAAAAUUAUGUACGUAAAUAAGAUUAAUUUAUAAUAUCAUUACGAAAAAUAUUUCAAAUUUUUUUGUUUAUUUAGUAAAAAAUUAUUUCAAUGAAAUAAUUUAUAAAUAUAACUAUACUUUAUCAUUGUCUUUUAAAAAUAAAAAUAAAAUAACUAUUAAGAAUGCGUUUUUUUCAAGUACUUACUUUGUUUGAAACAAUUUGUUUAUAAAGUUCUAAAUACGAUUUAUAAAUAUCACAGCACGAGGGACAAUUCUCUUCAUAGUCAAAAUUACAUAAACCACCAAUUUCGUCAUGGUCAAGUCUAAAACAGAACGCUGCUGAAUGUCAAUUGGCGGGGGCAGUCACACACGUGAUACAAGCGUAUAAUUAUCGAACUACAUAACAUUCGCGACGUUAAGACUAUUUAGUAUUUCUCAAUUCUAAGUUUUUAUUACUUUUCAAAUAUUGAUUACACGUAAAAUAAAUCAUUUUGAUUAAUAAUAAAUUGCAAUCACUUAAAAUAUAUUUAUCAAGAAUCCAUACUUACAGUUGAAUGCCUCCAAUAUUUAAUUAAGUCGUGCAAGUCUGUAAAGGGACAGUAAAGUAAAAAAUCCCUCCAUUCUUCAAAGCUAAUUUCUAAACUACCAUCUUUAUCCAUCCUAAAGUAUACACAAAAAAAACAUAAGCUAGCUUAUUUUAUUUUAUAACAUUAACCCCGAAUUAAUUACCUUUUAAGAAGUUUUAUAGCUUCAGCGUCGUCAAUUUCAAUUCCUAAUUCUUGAAAAGCUCUUAUAAGCUCGUAUUGAUCAAUUUUCCCUAAAGAAAUUGUAAAUAAAUAAACUUAAAAAAAAAAUUAUAUUGUUAAUUCUUAAAAAGUAUAAAGUAUUAAGUGGGUAAAAAAUGUCCUUUGUUGUCAUAAUUUAGAAAAUGGGGCAAGUCUGUUAAAAUAUGACACUUCAGAAACCACAAAUUAUUGUAAUGAACAUUGUAGUUUUUCUUUUGCUUCGAAUAUCCGCAAUGCGCAGUACUAAAUACGCAACGCGUGUUAGUUAUCAUACAAUUUAAAAAUCGAAAUUCAAUAAUAUAUUAAUAUAGAAUAUACAGGCGUAACUAUCAACAGUAUAUGUAUUAUUUAUUUUUGUAAUGUUAGUAUUGAAACAAUAAAUUAUCAUAGUUUUUACAUAAAAUAAAUUCGUAAUAACUUAAACAUUAAAUGAUAAUUAUGUAAAUGAUAUUUUGUUCAUCUUCUACUUAAACUGUCAAUUCAGUAUUAUAUAAAUCAUAAUUUUAAGUUAAAUUACACUAUACGCUCAUAAAUAUGAUUUCUUAAUAAGAUAUAUUACAAAACUAUACUCAAUCAACUGAAAUAUUAACCUUAUCAGUUAUCACGAGCUUUUCUAAUUCAUUCAACUUAAACGUAUUUAAAAAGAGCAUUUUAAAUAUACAAAUGUACUUAUACUUAUAAAAAUUAAUUGUUUUUAAAAACUUUUUUCAAAUUUUCAACUUGACUACAGUGUUAAUAAGAACCAAUAUUUGAUUUUUUAGAAGCUUUCAUUUUAGGCCAUGAUAAUAUAAUGACCGUAUACUUAUUUAGACGGAAGGUAUUCAGUACGGUAAAACAUAUUCUACGAAAUACGACGAUAUUAUUAUCCAUUGCAUAAUAUUUGUAUGCUAUUAUUUUAAAAUAUAAUAUUAAUCAUCUCAAUGACAAAUAUAAUAAUCAUAUUUUUAUUUUAUUAUAUUCAUAAAAAAAUUGCUAUACAUCGGUAAUACAAUUUGAAAAUUUAGUGUAAAUAGAAUAUUCGAUAAUAAACUUAAAUCAUCACUACCUAUUUUUAAUUUUAAAUAAGCAAUAGGUAACCUAAAUCUUAAGACAUAAUCUUAUGCCAAUACAGACAAUGUGGAAGCCGGGUUCUAAUAAUGUGAAGUAUAAUAAUUAAUGAAUAAUUUAUUGAACUCCGUACGUACGUACGUACGUAUUUAAUAAAUUGUAUUAAACUAUUCAAACCCAUAGGUUUAUUAAGUUAAUUCAAUUUUGAUAAGCUAUUAAAUAAGUAAUCAUAAUUUAUUCAACUCAUAAUUAAAACUAGGCGACUUAUAAUACGGUUUAAGGUAAUAUGUGCAAUGCAUCAUAUCUAUAUAUAGGAAUAUAUAGGAAUUUACAUUGUACACUUUGUUACCUAUUAUAUUUACAAUUUACGAUAUUAUUUUAUUUUUUGUAAUUCAACCCAGAAGUAUAAAAACUAGAGCAUGAGUGUAUAACACUAGAUUAGUGGCGUCAUUUGAGGGGGGCAAAGUGGGCGUCUUUGUUCACGUCUGAUUUUAAAAACCGGCCUGUGUUUGCAUUUUAGUAAAAAAACAUAACUGUUAUUAUAAUUUUGAGGAAAUUUAAUAUUGUUUAGGACUAGGUACUAUACUAGGAAAUUAAAUUAUUGUCACGCAAUAAUCAUAAUUAUUAAUUUAUAUUAAUAGUUUUAAGUUAGAAAUAUAGACAUGCGACUGUGUAUAUACGAUUAGGUAUAAGAAAUGGUGUGUCCAUAGUGUGAAGGAACAAACAAAUAUUCAUUAUUAUUAUACCUGCCUUUGUAUUGUGUAAUUUACUAUUUUUAAACGCGAUGUAUAGCUGUGUAUUAUGCUUCUGUGGAACGGAAUGACCCAGGUUGCGGAUAUUAUAAUAAUAGGUAAUAGGUACACAUUUACAAAGAUUUGUAUGCGGGCAUGUACAUUGUACAACAACAAUAAUAUUAUAUACCCAUACCAUUUUUUGUAACCUUUUUUUUUGCAUUCCAACAGUAUCAAGUAUUAUCAACUGCCAUAACAUAAAUUUUAAAAACAAAACAACGAAUUAUUUAUUUAUCCGUAGUUUAUAAGAAGCAUUAUGGACCAGGGCUCUGAUAGUAUUUUAUAUUUUUACCUUUCAGUACCAUUUUAACAAUUUAUUUGUAUUAAAAGUAUUGUUAUUUGAUUUGUUCGGCAUCUAUUCUAAAAAAAAAAAAUUUUAAUGACGCCAUUGCACUGCGUAUUUGAGAUGAACUUUCUUAAUGGGGUUCUCAGAAAUAAGUAAUGUUAAGGAGGAAAAUUAGAAAAACAUAAAAACCAUUUUUAUCAAGUCAUAUAAAUUUCUACAAAACUGUAAUAUUUCCUUAUGUAUUCAUAGAAGUAUGUAAUAUACUAAUAUAUGUAUCGAACUAUUUACUAUCAUAUACAAUAAACUUUUUAACUCAUCUUUUUCUUACCAACUUGUGAAUAAUUUAUUUAUCUGUUUUCUAAAUUUUUUUGUCAGUAUUAAAUUAAAAAAACUUUGCUUUAGGUAUUACAGUGUACAAAAUCUUGGAAUAAAUAAAAAUGAUCAAAAAUAGAUUUGUGAACAAUUUUAUCAAUUAUACGUUAUAAAUUUAAAUUGCAACAUUUGCAAAAUAAAUAUUUUGGUUACGCAUUAUUUAUUUCUGAACUACAUAUUUUUAACUUUCGUGUACAACUAUCUUUAUUAUUUAAAUAUCCUUAUAUUUAAUCAAGUGAUUAACAGUUUUUUUGUAGAAUUGUAGAUAAUAAUAUAUAAUCACAUCAGACAAAUCGCAGGCAAUAUUUACGAAAGUGCAAUGUGUGUACUUCCUCCAACAAUUUAGACUUUAGAGGCCUCAUAUUUCAAAUAUUUUCUGAUAAAACAAAUAUACGAAAUACAAUUUUUGAAAAUAUAUUUUUCCCCUCUCUAAUACAUUAAUAUUUUCUGUCGUAAAUUGUAUUGAUGAACAAAAUCAAUGUUCAAUAAUAGACCAAUAGAAAAAAUUAAUUAUUUUAUCGCUAUACAAUCAUUGUUGCCUUUACUCGAAAAACAGUUAUCAUAGCUGCAGGUUAAUGUAGAGGGCUGUUAGUGUAUUAAACGUUUAGCAUAAUUUUUAAAUAAGUAUAAAAAGUUCAAUAGAACCGUUAGUGUAAUAAACUUUUAGCACAGUUUUUUUUAUUUUAAAAGGGCGCUACAUCCGCAAGCAUUAUUUCUGUCUUACAAACGCAAAAAAUUUAAAUUGUACGCUCAGUAGAUCACGUUUAGCUCUAUUCAUUUAAAGAUUACAGUGAAUUGACCUCUAAUAAAUUUUAGAAGUAAAAAAUAUUUUCUAGUGAACUUCAUAGUUUUUUUUUUAUAUUUUAAUUUUAAAGCAAGUUAUGUAAUUUUUUUGCGUCUGUAAGACGGGUGUAGCGCACUUUAAAAAUAAAAAAACUGUGCUAAAAAUGUAUUACACUAACGAUUCUAUUGAACUUUUUAUACUUAUUUAAAAAUUAUUUUCCUGCAUUAGUUUUAAUUCAAGAAAAUUUGGUCAUGCUACAGCAUACACUAAACUUGGGUGUAUAAAUGAACUCUAUAAUUGUUUCCAUGUUGGUCCAUUUUAUUUGUCCCAAUUUCUUUUAAUCAAGCUGUGGGCAUAUGACUUGGGUACUUGACACAUAAAAUAAUUUGUAUAAAAAAUAUUCAAAAUUUUUUUUUUAAUUUAGACCCCCAUCAGUUCCUGUUUGUUAUGUUAUUAUUUAUUUUCGCUCCCCCUUUCGUAUUUAAUCCAAAUUAUGGAUAUUUUCAUCCAGAAGGGAGACUUAGCCCUCCCAGUCUUUUAAACAUCUUUAAAAACGAUUGAAAAAAUUGUAUUACUUCUUUCACAAAUAUUUAUAUUGUGUAUAGAAAAAGUACUAAAAUUGUAAUUAAACUGACUGAAAAUAAAAUUUCUUAUUUUCUAUUGUCUGGUUACAUAACUUCGUAAGCGGCAACCAUCUGCUAUUAUUUUUAAAAUAAAUUAUGAAACACCACCAUCAAUCGACACAAUUUAGAACUUUACAGCAUAGAUAUUGUUAAAAACCUAUAUUAAAUAAACAAAACAAUAUCUUUUAUCGUAGGAAGCUCGAGUAUACCAAAUGUGCAUACAGAAAAAUCUAUUUUAUGUCAUUGGUUUCAAUAUUAUUAUAUUUAAAUGUAAAGAAUAUUAUUUAUUUUGUAUACAAUAAGAUUUUAAUAUUAUCUACCAACUAGAGAAUCACUUAUCGGAUUUAUUUGAUAUUUUUAUUUUAAAAUGAGUACCUAUGAUUUUAGCCGUAGGGAUCCCAGAUUUUUUUUUUUAAACACGGUUUUUUUUAAAUCUUGUCAUUUACAUAGAUGUAGGGCGUAGUCCUUCAAAAUUCAAGUUAUAACGCAACCAUGUAAAUGAUUUAGAUAUUAUCACUUAUUAGUCAUCAGUUAAAUUUUAAAAUGCUUAAUGGUACCUAAGAAAAAAUUUAGUUUUUGAAAUAAUUUUAAAAUUUAGGACAGAUGAUUCAAAAUACAGGUCAAAAGUAUUAUUUUUAAGCUUUUGUCAGGAUACUGAGACUCUUUACUCAAAUAUGGGACAAUUCUGUAAAAUACGGGAUGAAGGAGUCUUCAGUCUUUGAUAAAAGGUCAAUAAAUUCACUUAUUCCUCCUUAACAUAUUAUAUUAAAAAAAAAAAAAAAAAUGAAUUCGACAGAAUAUAAAUUUUCUUGUAACUUGUAAUAUGUUACUAUUUGUAUAAUUUUUGUGUAGUUACUAUUUAAAUAUUUUGGAUCCAAAUGUAUCUAUUAUUGUAUCCAAAUGUAAUUAUGAAUAAUAAAAUAGUUACUCUUUAUGAAAGAAUAAGUGAUAUUAUUUUUGUGCAACAAUUACUUGAAAUUUAUCAAGUGUUAUUAAUUUAUUAGUGAAUAUACCGUAUAAUUAGUAUAACUGAAAUUGUUUUGGACAUCAAUGAUUGUA